rnacentral:tRNA from 1 species
GGCUGAAUUUCAGUAUCUUGGCGGGCGGCGGCUUCGUUCACAUCGAAGAUGUCAGCGGUUCAAAUCCGUUAUCACCCACCA